GGACUCGCACAAGCGGUGGAGCAUGCGGUUUAAUUCGAUGCAACGCGAAGAACCUUACCAGGUCUUGACAUCCCGUUGACAGGUCUAGAGAUAGAUUUUUUCUUCGGAACAACGGAGACAGGUGGUGCAUGGUUGUCGUCAGCUCGUGUCGUGAGAUGUUGGGUUAAGUCCCGCAACGAGCGCAACCCUUAUCAUUAGUUGCUAACAUUAAGUUGAGCACUCUAAUGAGACCGCCGGCGAUAAGCCGGAUGAAGGUGGGGAUGACGUCAAAUCAUCAUGCCCCUUAUGACCUGGGCUACACGCGUGCUACAAUGGCUAAUACAAAGAGUUUGCAAAACUGUGAAGUCAAGCUAAUCUCAUAAAGUUAGUCUCAGUUCGGAUUGUAGUCUGCAACUCGACUACAUGAAGUUGGAAUCGCUAGUAAUCGCAAAUCAGAAUGUUGCGGUGAAUACGUUCUCGAGUCUU
rnacentral:rRNA from 1 species